rnacentral:rRNA from 1 species
AACCUUUUUGAGUUGUGAAUUUUGGAUUUCGAAGAUCGUUCGGGUUCAAAUAUUUGCGCUUUAGGGGCGUAAUUUCUCGUUCGGUAGGUUAACAUCGAUUUUGAAGAUUAUAAAAUGAUCGGAGGAAUGUAGCUUCGAUCUCGUAUUGAAGUGUUAUAGCCUUUGGUAGAUGUAAUGAUCAAGAUCGAGGAUUGCAACGAAUACCCUUUGGGCUAUCCGUCUGAUCUCUGAUACGUUGCCUUGGUAACGAAAGCUUGCUUACGGUAUUGAGGUAUUACGGUCAAAAGGUUAGAACGUGAUUACAUUCGUUAAGGAUGUUGACGUAA